rnacentral:rRNA from 1 species
AACGAACGCUGGCGGCAGGCUUAACACAUGCAAGUCGAGCGCCCCGCAAGGGGAGCGGCAGACGGGUGAGUAACGCGUGGGAACGUACCUUUUGGUUCGGAACAACUCCGGGAAACUGGAGCUAAUACCGGAUAAGCCCUAACGGGGAAAGAUUUAUCGCCGAAAGAUCGGCCCGCGUCUGAUUAGCUAGUUGGUGAGGUAACGGCUCACCAAGGCGACGAUCAGUAGCUGGUCUGAGAGGAUGAUCAGCCACACUGGGACUGAGACACGGCCCAGACUCCUACGGGAGGCAGCAGUGGGGAAUAUUGGACAAUGGGCGCAAGCCUGAUCCAGCCAUGCCGCGUGAGUGAUGAAGGACUUAGGGUUGUAAAGCUCUUUUGUCCGGGAAGAUAAUGACUGUACCGGAAGAAUAAGCCCCGGCUAACUUCGUG